GAGCCUUAGUGUUGGAUUUGAAGGAAGAAGCCCCAGGAGCUGCUGAGAGCUGUUUUAUAACCAUGAGCCAUGUAAAAUGUGCCUCCUUCGUCUUCUCAUUCUGCCAUGAUUGUAAGUUUCCUGAGGUCUCCCCAGCCACGCUUCCUGAACAGCCUGCGGAACGGGAAUAUGGCUUGUGAACCGUACUGUCUGGGGUCCGAAUCCUGGCUCUAGUAUUUCCCAGUUGUGGAGUUUUGGGCAAGCAUGCCCUCAUCCUCCUGAGCCUCAGCAACGACACUUAUCUGACAAGGCUGGAGUGCAGUGGUGCGAUUAUAGCUCACGGCAGCCUUGAUCUUCUGGGCUCAAGUGAUCCUCCCACCUCAGCCACCCGAAGUGCUGGUAUUACAGGCGUGAGCCCCCAUGCCCAGCUUCAAUAUUUCUUUUAAGUGUGGUUUGUUUUUUUCACUGCCAACACAUUUUUAUCUUAAUGUUACCACCCAAGUCAACCAGAAGUCAUUUAAGAAAUAGCUGGUGUAGAAAAUAAUUUUGCAAAAUGAGAAAUCAGUUCAAAGGCUGGAUUCCAAACUGGCAUGAGCCUGUCCCCAGUGUUGGUGUCUCGUCUCCAUGUGGUCUUUUGCCAACUCAUCUGCUUUUGCCCCCGACCUGCCCUUGGGCAGAAUCCAGUGCAGAUCCUCAUGCAUUUAGGAAGGGUGUCUGAAGGCUUACUCAGCAGCCACCAGUCAUCAUGUCUUUUCUAUUUUCUAUUACCACAUUCAGUUACAAACAGGUACACAAAUAUGAAGAGAAAUGGAGGGCAAGGGACGUAAGAUGGUGCAUGUUUCUCCUGCCCUGGUAAAACGUCUUCUCUGGCAAUAUUAUCUCCGUUGGUAGAAUGGUUGCCUGUGACAGGAAGAGGUCGUGGGGGUAGGCAGAGCAGGGUAAGGUUUUAAACAAAUUCUUUUUUGCAAUAUUUACUGAUUAUUUUAUUUUUUCUCCAUUGAAGAGACUCUUUUUUCUUUUUUUGCUCUAUUCAGCCAUUUUAUGCUUUAACUCUGCAGACAAUAACAAAAAAUACACUAAACUACAUUUAGACAGAUGGGAAGAAAUGGAGAAAAGAACAAUUACUCAAAACACUAAGCUGAAGCUGAGUGUUGUGGCAUGCACUCACAGUCCCAGCUACUCAGGCAGGAGGAUCGCUUGAGCCCAGGAGUUCAAGGCCGCAGUGAGCCAUGAUUGCACCACAGCACUCCAGCCUGGGCAACAGAGCAAAACCCUGUCUCAAAAACAAAACAAAACAAAAAACCCCACUAAGUUGAUGAAAAUGGUCAACUUUUUUUGCCUAUGGACAUCUACAUGCGCCCGCAUCAUUUGUUGAAAAGAUUGACCUUUCCCCAUUAAAUUGUUUUAUCAGUUACACAUUAAGUUUCUAUGAGAGUAAGAAGAACAAUAGGUUUGGAAGAAGGUUUGAAGAUACAAGUCAAAGUCUGAAAGAGACUUGUUCUAAUGUGGAAUAACUCAUAAGUUUUUCUGAUUAAACUGUUAAUUUUCAUAGAAUUAUAGACUCACAUGCAGUUGUAAGAAAUAAUACAGAGAACUCCUGUGGAUUCUUUACACAGUUUCCCCAGUGGUAAACUUGGAAAGUUAUAGUAGAAUAUCACAGCCAGGAUAUUGACACUGAUACAAAGUACAGGACAGUUUCACCAUCAUAAAGAUCUUUUGUGUUGCUCUUCUAGAUAGCCACACCUACCCCACCCCACCACUGUCCCUGGCCUCCGACAACCACUAAUCUGUUUUCCAUUCUUUAAUUUUGCUACUUCAAUAAUGUUAUAUAAAUAGGACAAUACAGGAUACAA
ensembl:lncRNA novel transcript